GACGAACGCUGGCGGCGUGCCUAAUACAUGCAAGUCGAGCGAAUCAAUAGGAGCUUGCUCCUGUUGGUUAGCGGCGGACGGGUGAGUAACACGUGGGCAACCUGCCUGUAAGACUGGGAUAACACCGGGAAACCGGUGCUAAUACCGGAUAAUCCUUUUCCUCUCAUGAGGAAAAGCUGAAAGUCGGUUUCGGCUGACACUUACAGAUGGGCCCGCGGCGCAUUAGCUAGUUGGUGAGGUAAUGGUUCACCAAGGCGACGAUGCGUAGCCGACCUGAGAGGGUGAUCGGCCACACUGGGACUGAGACACGGCCCAGACUCCUACGGGAGGCAGCAGUAGGGAAUCUUCCACAAUGGACGAAAGUCUGAUGGAGCAACGCCGCGUGAGCGAUGAAGGCCUUCGGGUCGUAAAGCUCUGUUGUUAGGGAAGAACAAGUACCGGAGUAACUGCCGGUACCUUGACGGUACCUAACCAGAAAGCCACGGCUAACUACGUGCCAGCAGCCGCCGCGG
rnacentral:rRNA from 1 species